UACGUAGGGGGCAAGCGUUAUCCGGAUUUACUGGGCGUAAAGAGCGCGUAGGCGGGAUAGCAAGUCAGAUGUGAAAUCCUAUGGCUUAACCAUAGAACUGCAUUUGAAACUGUUAUUCUAGAGUAUGGGAGAGGUAGGUGGAAUUCUUGGUGUAGGGGUAAAAUCCGUAGAGAUCAAGAGGAAUACUCAUUGCGAAGGCGACCUGCUGGACGGUGUACUGACGCUGAGGCUCGAAAGCGUGGGGAGCAAACAGG
rnacentral:rRNA from 1 species